AUUAUCCUAGCGGCGGACGGGUGAGUAACGCGUGGGCAACCUACCUUUUGGAGGGGGAUAACAUUGGGAAACCAGUGCUAAUACCGCAUAAACCGGCAGUAUCGCAUGAUACAACCGGCAAAGGAGCAAUCCGCCAGAAGAUGGGCCCGCGUCUGGUUAGCUAGUUGGUGGAGUAGAGGCCUACCAAGGCGACGAUCGGUAGCCGAACUGAGAGGUUGGUCGGCCACAAUGGGACUGAGACACGGCCCAUACUCCUACGGGAGGCAGCAGUGGGGAAUAUUGCGCAAUGGGGGAAACCCUGACGCAGCGACGCCGCGUGAAGGAUGAAGGUCUUCGGAUUGUAAACUUCUUUGAUUGGGGACGAAUAAUGACGGUACCCAAAAAACAAGCCACGGCUAACUACGUGCCAGCAGCCGCGGUAAUACGUAGGUGGCGAGCGUUGUCCGGAAUUACUGGGUGUAAAGGGCGUGUAGGCGGGAUAUUAAGUCAGAUGUGAAAGCCCUUGGCUCAACCAAGGGUCUGCAUCUGAAACUGAUAUUCUUGAGUGCAGUAGAGGGAAGCGGAAUUCCUAGUGUAGCAGUGAAAUGCGUAGAUAUUAGGAGGAACACCAGUGGCGAAGGCGGCUUUCUGGGCUGUAACUGACGCUGAGGCGCGGAAGCGUGGGGAGCAAACAGGAUUAGAUACCCUGGUAGUCCACGCUGUAAACGAUGGAUACUAGGUGUAGGAGGUAUCGACCCCUUCUGUGCCGGAGUCAACACAAUAAGUAUCCCACCUGGGGAGUACGGCCGCAAGGUUGAAACUCAAAGGAAUUGACGGGGGCCCGCACAAGCAGUGGAGUAUGUGGUUUAAUUCGAAGCAACGCGAAGAACCUUACCAGGGCUUGACAUCCCACGAAGUUGCAAGAGAUUGCAAUGUCCUUCGGGACGUGGAGACAGGUGGUGCAUGGUUGUCGUCAGCUCGUGUCGUGAGAUGUUGGGUUAAGUCCCGCAACGAGCUCAACCCUUGUUGUUAGUUGCCAGCAUGUAAUGGUGGGCACUCUAACGAGACUGCCGGCGAUAAGUCGGAGGAAGGUGGGGACGACGUCAAAUCAUCAUGCCCCUUAUGUCCUGGGCUACACACGUACUACAAUGGCCGUAACAACGGGAAGCGAUGUGGUAACACGGAGCAAAUCCUAAAAAAGCGGUCCCAGUUCAGAUUGUGGGCUGAAACCCGCCCACAUGAAGUCGGAAUUGCUAGUAAUGGCAGGUCAGCAUACUGCCGUGAAUACGUUCCCGGGCCUUGUACACACCGCCCGUCACACCAUGAGAGUCGGAAACACCCGAAGUCAGUAGUUUAACAGUAAUGGGGACGCUGCCGAAGGUGGGUCUGAUGAUUGGGGUGAAGUCGGAACGAGGUA
rnacentral:rRNA from 1 species